CUCGAGGGCCUCCCUGUGGCCCGGCGCCUGAAGUCGGAGCUGCUUGGGUUAGUUUUUGUUUUAUGGUGGAGGCGCAGUGUGAGAGUGUGAGGGGCAAGGGCUGGAGGGACCCCCCCAUCUCUACCGAGAGGGCGUUGGGGAGCUUGGAGCUUCCCCCACCCCCGUGCUUGAAAACGAGGCUGCUUGGAUCAUUGAAGACGGGAGGGAGAGUUACGGGAUGAAAGGUUCUGAGGCAGGCGGACCCUUCCCCACACCUGUACUGCUUGAGGUUACAAAGGGGGUCUGGGUACGAUGGAUGAGAACGAGGGGCUCUUCCUCCUGUGCUCAGACCUGCCCGGGCUUAUUGGGGAGGGGCUAUUGGGAUGUCAGAUAGAUGCUUUCCAUGCCACCCCUUUCCUGAAGCCUAGGUUUUUGUGAAGAGGAGAAACGGGAUGGGGAUGGAGCCGGGGGGGGGCUCUUCCUCCUCCCACUUGGACCCGCCUAGGCUAUUGGGGGGAGGGGGUUGGGAUGUGAGGACUAAGGCUGGGAGACCUUCUCCACUGUGCUGGAAGUGGCCGGCACCGGAGGGCACUGGCGGAUUCUCGGGGUCCUCGAUGCUCAUGCUCAGGGCCCCUCGCCUAAGGUCCGAGUGGGCUGGGUGUGGAUGUGCGGUGGGGGAAAGUAAGAGGCGUGGAGGGGAUCCUCCCUACCUCUCCCUACCUGAGCCUUACCUCCUAGGCCCUCUCUACCUGGAUCCGGGCCAAGGGCCAAAAGUCGAGACGACCCUCCCAGCCCCGCCCCGUCCCGCCUCGCCCGCUGCAGGGAGCCCGACGAGGAUGGGCACGUGCGGGCGGGACGGGGCGGGUCCCCUUUCUGGCACUCCGAAGCUCGGGGGAGACUCCCCUGCGCCCCCAGACCUUUGGGGCUGCUCGGCUAAAUGCAAGGCGCGCCCCAGACCUGGCUACCUGCUUCUAGGGCGCGCGGCGGCCGCUUCGGGGACCCGGCUUUUGCGCUCGGCCCAAGCAUCCUCCGUAGGACAAAGCGGCGGUCGUUGCACUGGCGGGCCUGCGCCACCCGCUGGGCGGGGGGCGCGGCCAGGGAAGGGGGGGCUCCGGGCGCGGCGCGGAGAGAGCUUCCGCGGAAACACGCCAGGAGCCGGGCGGGAGACAAAGCGCGCUCGCUCCUCUCGGGCCUGCGCGAGCCGGGAUGGAAAAUCCCGAGGGAGGAGGCGGCUGCGCCCUGGCUGGGUACUACGCCCCGCACCCUUCUUUCCGGCACAUCACCCCCUACGCCGGCCCGGCACCCCAGGAUGCCGUGUGUGCGAUGGUAAUCAGGGUCCCUUCUGGGAGACAUUCAAG
rnacentral:lncRNA from 1 species